rnacentral:rRNA from 1 species
UCUGGUGUCCAUAGCGUCUUGGUACCACCCCUUCCCUUCCGAACAGGACCGUGAAACGAGACCGCGCCGAUGAUAUUGCACUUCACCGUGUGGAGAAAGUAGGUCAACGCCAGAC